UGGAGAGAUGGCCGAGUGGCUGAAGGCGCACGCUUGGAAAGCGUGUAUACAUGAAAAUGUAUCAUGGGUUCGAAUCCCAUUUUCUCCGU
rnacentral:tRNA from 1 species